rnacentral:rRNA from 1 species
UACCUGGUUGAUUCUGCCAGUAGUCAUAUGCCUUGUCUCA